UCUCAAUGAUGAUGCCUUUACCAGUUCUGCUACUGAAUGCAAGUGCUGAUGUUUUAGAAUCUGAGAAGA